rnacentral:rRNA from 1 species
UACGGAGGGUGCAAGCGUUAUCCGGAUUCACUGGGUUUAAAGGGUGCGUAGGUGGGUCUGUAAGUCAGUGGUGAAAUCUUCGAGCUUAACUCGGAAACUGCCAUUGAUACUAUAGGUCUUGAAUUUUCUGGAGGUAAGCGGAAUAUGUCAUGUAGCGGUGAAAUGCUUAGAUAUGACAUAGAACACCAAUUGCGAAGGCAGCUUACUACGGGACCAUUGACACUGAGGCACGAAAGCGUGGGGAUCAAACAGG